rnacentral:rRNA from 1 species
AUUGAACGCUGGCGGCAUGCUUUACACAUGCAAGUCGAACGGCAGCGCCGCCUUCGGCCUGGCGGCGUGUCGCGCACGGGUGUGUCAUGCAUCGGACCUUGCCCCGUAGUUUGGGAUAGCCCGGCGAAAUCCGGCUUAAUACCGCAUUCGCCCUGAGCGUGAUAGCGUGGGACCGAAAAGCCUUUCCCUAUUGGAGCGGCCGAUGUCGCUUUCGCUCUUUGGUGGGGUUAAGGCUUACCCAGGCGACCAUCCGUAGCUCGUCGGAGAGGACGAUCAGCCACACGGGGAGGGAGACACGGACCAGACUCCUAAGGGAGGCAGCAGAGGGGAAUGGGGGACAAAGGGGGCAAACCUGAUCCAACCAUGCCGCGUGCGAGAAGAAGGCCUGGGGGUUGUAAACCGCUUUUGUGCGGGAAGAAAUCCUCUGGGCUAAUACCCCGGGGGAAUGACGGUACCGGAAGAAGAAGCACCGGCUAACUACGUG